rnacentral:rRNA from 1 species
CAUGCAAGUCGAACGGCAGCGCGGGGCAACCUGGCGGCGAGUGGCGAACGGGUGAGUAAUAUAUCGGAACGUACCCAAGAGUGGGGGAUAACGUAGCGAAAGUUACGCUAAUACCGCAUACGAUCUAAGGAUGAAAGCAGGGGAUCUUCGGACCUUGUGCUCCUGGAGCGGCCGAUAUCUGAUUAGCUAGUUGGUGAGGUAAAGGCUCACCAAGGCCACGAUCAGUAGCUGGUCUGAGAGGACGACCAGCCACACUGGAACUGAGACACGGUCCAGACUCCUACGGGAGGCAGCAGUGGGGAAUUUUGGACAAUGGGCGAAAGCCUGAUCCAGCAAUGCCGCGUGAGUGAAGAAGGCCUUCGGGUUGUAAAGCUCUUUUGUCAGGGAAGAAACGGUGAGGGCUAAUAUCCUUCGCUAAUGACGGUACCUGAAGAAUAAGCACCGGCUAACUACGUGCCAGCAGCCGCGGUAAUCC